AGAGCUUUUCUUUGCCCAUAUCACCCUCCCAGGAAAGGACUUUAGCCCCACUGCUCAGAGUGCACACCUUCAGCUGUCAGAGGCUCCAGGGCUUGCCCCUGGCCCCAUAUCCCGGCCUUCCAGUGGUGGCCUGCAUCCAGUGACUGAUGGAUGCAGAAGUAGACGGCCUGGCCAUCUUGGCCUGAUGCAGGAACCUCUGGCUGGCCGUCUGGCUCCAGAGCUCUCAUGGGGGUUGUGGGGAGGCCUUGGCCCUCCUGCUUCCUCUCCUCUCCACAGGCUUGAUCACAUGGCACGUCCUGCACACCACUGCCUCAGGCCUCCUCAGGGAAGCCAGACUGUGGAACAUGGGGUCAGGAACAGUGUGAGAAGGCAGGCAAUAGGGGCUUGGGCAGGCUUGCUCCCAGCCUGGCUGGCAGUGAGGACCCAUCACUGCUGUAGGUGGAGUAGAGAGGGGCCUGGGCACAAGGCCAAGGUCCAAAGGUUAGAACUUUUGCCAGUGAUGAGCCUGGAUCACACAGCAGGAAGGGAACACACCAGCUGGAUGCCAUAGCAGGUGGUUGGAAGGUGCUGGGGUAUCGGUCACAAUAGAGAAGUGGGGUAGGGUGGCUGUUGUGCAGCUCUCUCAAAGCUCCAAAGAAAGAAUAAUGAGGGGCCGGCCCGGUGGCACAGUGGUUAAGUUCGCACGUUCCUCUUAGGUGGCCCGAGAUUUGCCGGUUCAGAUCCCAGGUGCAGACAUGGCAGUGCUUGGCAAGCCAUGCUGUGGCAGGCAUCCCACAUAUAAAGUAGAGGAAGAUGGGCAUGAUGUUAGCUCAGGGCCAGUCUUCCUCAGCAAAAAGAGGAGGAUUGGCAGCAGAUGUUAGCUCAGGGCUAAUCUUCCUCAAAAAAAAAAAGAAAAAAACGAAGAAGAAUGAAAGGUUGAGAGCCAUUGACUGGCCAUUGAAGGCCAAGGUGAAGGCCAGAACCAUGACAUGAAGAGGUCGGGCUGUCCGUUGAGGAGAGGCUGUGCAGGGUGUCCUGUAGGAUGGGAGGCCCUCUCAGGCAGAGCAGCCCCAGCUGACCUCCCAGCUGAAUGCCGUCACAUGAGUGACUCCAGCUAUACCACACGGAGCAGAACCGCCCAGCUGAGCCAG
rnacentral:lncRNA from 1 species